GACAGGAGGGGCAAGCGUUGCUCGGAAUUACUGGGCGUAAAGGGCGCGUAGGCGGGUAUGGCAAGUCGGUCGUGAAAAUCCCGUUCGGCUCCAACCGGAAAGAACGUUCGAUCGAUACUGCUGUUCUUGAGGUUGCAGAGGGAGACUGAAUUCCCGGUGUAGCGGUGAAAUGCGCAGAUAUCAGGAGGAACACCGGUGGCGAAGGCGGGUCGCUGGGCCGGAUACUGACGCUGAGGAGCGAAAAGCGUGGGGGAG
rnacentral:rRNA from 1 species